UCUAAUGUGGCAGAAAAGUGCAAUGGAUUUAAGCUCCAUAUAUAAAGUUUACCAACUUUCAUUAGAA
rnacentral:tRNA from 1 species